AGGGAUUGCCCUAGUAACGGCGAGUGAAGCGGCAACAGCUCAAAUUUGAAAGCUAGCCUUCGGGUUCGCAUUGUAAUUUGUAGAGGAUGAUUUGGGGAAGCCGCCUGUCUAAGUUCCUUGGAACAGGACGUCAUAGAGGGUGAGAAUCCCGUAUGUGACAGGAAAUGGCACCCUAUGUAAAUCUCCUUCGACGAGUCGAGUUGUUUGGGAAUGCAGCUCUAAAUGGGAGGUAAAUUUCUUCUAAAGCUAAAUAUUGGCGAGAGACCGAUAGCGCACAAGUAGAGUGAUCGAAAGAUGAAAAGCACUUUGGAAAGAGAGUUAAAAAGCACGUGAAAUUGUUGAAAGGGAAGCGCUUGCAAUCAGACUUGUUUAAACUGUUCGGCCGGUCUUCUGACCGGUUUACUCAGUUUGGACAGGCCAGCAUCAGUUUCGGCGGCCGGAUAAAGGCUCUGGGAAUGUGGCCUCCACUUCGGUGGAGGUGUUAUAGCCCAGGGUGUAAUACGGCCAGCCGGGACUGAGGUCCGCGCUUCGGCUAGGAUGCUGGCGUAAUGGUU
rnacentral:rRNA from 1 species